CGUAACACGUAUGUAACCUACCUUAAUCUGGGGGAUAGCCUCUCGAAAGAGAGAUUAACACCGCAUAACAUUAUCGGAUAGCAUUUUCUGAUAAUCAAAUAUUUAUAGGAUUAAGAUGGGCAUGCGGAACAUUAGCUAGUUGGUAAGGUAAUGGCUUACCAAGGCUACGAUGUUUAGGGGAUCUGAGAGGAUGACCCCCCACACUGGUACUGAGACACGGACCAG
rnacentral:rRNA from 1 species